UGAAUAACAGACCGCAGCUGUUUUGUUUAUGGAAUUAACCACUCAGUGUGAUUAAAGUGAUACUCCCUGCUAAUCACCACACCUUCAAGUAGCGGGCUAUAUAAUGCUAAUCACCACGCCUUUAAUUAGUGGGCUAUAUAAUACAGAGCCCCAUGAGCUGAUUAGCCAUUGAAUGAUUUGUCUUCCCGAAGUGAGAUGUAGGAGGAUAGAGCUCUCCAAAAAAUACUUUCGGAGGAAAUGGGUUGGGCUGCUACCUAUAAUUUUGCAGAAGCUUUAUAACAGACACAGAGCUAUAUUGGUCCUGGCUGCUUGAAAAACUGCCAGAAGAAAUGUUAUCCUUUAUUCAGAAAUCCGGAGGCCUGGCUUUCAAGGAGACAGAAACAGACUGUAUCUUAACACCACAGCAAGGAAAGAACUCUAAACAAGCCAACAACAACACUGGAAGGAAAAACCUCAGUUUGGACAGAGGAGUCUGAGCUCUGUAACCUUUUUUAACCUGACUCUGUAACCUUUUUUAUUUUAUUUUGCAAAUUCUGUUGUUUGUGUUAAAAAAGAAACUUUAAAGUGCAAAGUUAUCAUUGAAUUGUUUUUAUUGCGUUUCAUUUAUAUGGAAAGUUAAAGAAAUCUCACCAGGCAGGAUUACACUGCCAAUUGUAAAACCAGGAGAGUUGGUCUUGUGGUAGCAAGCAUGACUUGUCCCCUUAGCUAAGCAGGGUCUGCCCUAGUUGCAUAUGAAUGGCAGACUUGAUUUGUGAGCACUGUAAGAUAUUAUUCCCCUCAGGGGAUGGAGCUGCUCUGGGAAGAGCAGAAGGUUCCAAGCUCCCUCCCUGGCAGCAUCUCCAAGAUAGGGCAGAGAGAGACUCCUGCCUGCAACCUUGGAGAAGCCGCUGCCAGUCUAUGUAGACAAUACUGAGCUAGAUAGACCAAUGGCCUGACUCAGUAUAUGGCAGCUUCUUAUGUUCCUAACCCAUACAUGGUGUAAAGAAAGUGGUAUAAUGGCUCAAAAGAAAAUAAUGAGCACAUACAUUCCUAAGCAUUGAAGGUUUUGCCAUUUGGCCUCCAAAAUUCACAUGAUUUUUUUUUUUUAAAGAUGCAACACCCUAAUCCACAUUUCCCCAUCUUUACUAGCACAUGGUAGAAGGAGGAUAUACUUUACUGUUGGUACUGCAAGCACUUAAUAUUUUUCAUUGAGAAAUUAAUCCCCUCUCCACCCACACACAGACUCACAUACUAAAAUCCUAGUAUUCUUCAAAUCUAUGGCUUACUCUGUUCAGGGAGGCUACUAUUUGUUUUUUAUUUGCACCUUCCCCCAAACAAACCCAUUCAGAUAUUCCAAUCAGUUACUUGACUUUCUAUGCACUGUGCCUGUAGGGUUAAGGGUAUAGGUUUUUUCCCCUUCUACUCUAUUUUUGCCUAUAGUUCAGAUAGCUGUGUCCACGUGACUUAUUUAAUGCCUUUUAAAUUGGAGCCCAUUGGUCAAAUGGCUUCACAUUUCAUGCAGAAUAGCUGGGAAAUUGUAGUGUUAUGGGCAGAAGAAUGAGAGAUAGUUCUGACUGAAACCAACAGGAACCCAAAUGGUUGUGGUGUUUUUUGUUAAUCCAUUCCUUGAUCCAGGCCAGUUUAUGAACAGGGCUGUGGCGAUCAGUCCUCCCAUCCCCUAAAGAGUGAACCAGAAGUGGACCCUGUCCUGACUGACAGGCAGUGACCUCUGGGGAUCAGCCACUCAGCACACAGUGGCCGGGACCUAGAGGGCCUGGCAGCAGGAAGUGAAGAGGGUUUCUUGGUCCUCAGUUGGAGCCAGGCAGGGGAACAAGAGGUUGUCUGGCCAGGCAAUGGUGGCAGCCAGAAGCUCCACAGGGGCCUGAAGUUUCUACCAUGGAUUUGGUGAGUUCGGGAGGGAAGCCAGGACUUGGGCUUUGGGGAAAGGAACUGUGUGUUAGGUAGCAUGCGUUAGAUUUUGUUAGAUUUCAUGCUUUUGAAAAUCCCUACAACUGGUUUAUUGUGUUGUUAUUUGUAACAUAACAAAUCAAGGCAAACUGAGCCAAUGCCCUUUUCCAGCUAGGGCAUUGUAAAAGUCUCUGUAAACUCUCAAGGAGGCUUUUUCUAUUUUCUUGCAUUUUUGUUCUAUGCAACUGGGUAAACACAAUUUUAAAGUGUGCCACUCCAAGCACCAGCUGGAGUGCUCUUGGGACGUAGUCUUGUAAAGUACCGAGUAUUUCUUUUUACCUGUAACUAGAAGCUGAGAAAGCCUCAGACUGAAGCAGUCUGAAGUAUGUUGGAAAUAAAGUUUUCUUUUUGUUCUUUGCA